UACGUAGGUGGCGAGCGUUGUCCGGAUUUACUGGGCGUAAAGAGCGCGCAGGCGGUCGUACAAGUCGCGUGUGAAAGCCCCCGGCUCAACUGGGGAGGGUCACGCGAUACUGUUCGACUCGAAGGCAGGAGAGGGAAGUGGAAUUCCCGGUGUAGUGGUGAAAUGCGUAGAUAUCGGGAGGAACACCAGUGGCGAAGGCGACUUCCUGGCCUGUUCUUGACGCUGAGGCGCGAAAGCCAGGGUAGCAAACGGG
rnacentral:rRNA from 1 species